UACGUAGGGUCCGAGCGUUGUCCGGAAUUACUGGGCGUAAAGAGCUCGUAGGUGGUUUGUCGCGUUGUUCGUGAAAACUCACAGCUCAACUGUGGGCGUGCGGGCGAUACGGGCAGACUGGAGUACUGCAGGGGAGACUGGAAUUCCUGGUGUAGCGGUGGAAUGCGCAGAUAUCAGGAGGAACACCGGUGGCGAAGGCGGGUCUCUGGGCAGUAACUGACGCUGGAGGAGCGAAAAGCGUGGGGGAGCGAAACAGG
rnacentral:rRNA from 1 species